AACGUAGGACGCAAGCGUUAUCCGGAAUUACUGGGCGUAAAGAGCGCGUAGGCGGGUCAACAAGUCAUGCGUGAAAGCUCCCGGCUAAACUGGGAGAGGUCGGAUGAUACUGUUGGUCUUGAGUGUGGCAGAGGCGUGUGGAAUUCCGCGUGUAGUGGUGAAAUGCGUAGAUGUGCGGAGGAACACCAGUGGCGAAGGCGGCACGCUGGGCCACAACUGACGCUGAGGCGCGAAAGCAUGGGUAGCGAAC
rnacentral:rRNA from 1 species